rnacentral:rRNA from 1 species
UACGUAGGGCGCAAGCGUUGUCCGGAAUUAUUGGGCGUAAAGAGCUCGUAGGCGGUUUGUUGCGUCUGUCGUGAAAGCCCACAGCUUAACUGUGGGUCUGCGGUGGAUACGGGCAGACUAGAGGCAGGUAGGGGAGAAUGGAAUUCCCGGUGUAGCGGUGAAAUGCGUAGAUAUCGUAAGGAAGACCAGUGGCGAAGGCGGGUCUCUGGGACGGUACUGACGCUGAGACGCGAAAGCGUGGGGAGCGAACAAG